GCUGGGCAUGGUGGUGCAUGCCUGUAGUCCCAGCUAUGGGAGGCUGAGGUGGGAGGAUCACUUGAGCCAGGGAGAUUGAGGCUGCAGUGAGCUGAGAUCAGGCCACUGCACUCCAGCCUGGGCAACAGAGCAAUACCCUGUCUCAC
ensembl:misc_RNA Metazoa_SRP Metazoan signal recognition particle RNA